rnacentral:rRNA from 1 species
GACGAACGCUGGCGGCGUGCUUAACACAUGCAAGUCGAACGGAAAGGCCCUGCUUUUGUGGGGUGCUCGAGUGGCGAACGGGUGAGUAACACGUGAGUAACCUGCCCUCGACUUUGGGAUAACUUCAGGAAACUGGGGCUAAUACCGGAUAGGAGCUCCUGCUGCAUGGUGGGGGUUGGAAAGUUUCGGCGGUUGGGGAUGGACUCGCGGCUUAUCAGCUUGUUGGUGGGGUAGUGGCUUACCAAGGCUUUGACGGGUAGCCGGCCUGAGAGGGUGACCGGCAACAUUGGGACUGAGAUACGGCCCAGACUCCUACGGGAGGCAGCAGUGGGGAAUAUUGCACAAUGGGCGGAAGCCUGAUGCAGCAACGCCGCGUGCGGGAUGACGGCCUUCGGGUUGUAAACCGCUUUCGCCUGUGACGAAGCGUGAGUGACGGUAAUGGGUAAAGAAGCACCGGCUAACUACGUG